rnacentral:misc_RNA from 1 species
UGCGUUACGGGUUGUAGUGGAGCUCUUUUUGUGUCAGGCUUUUUUGCCUGAUAUAAAAAAGCGGGAACGGAAGACCCGACCCUUG